rnacentral:lncRNA from 1 species
GGUUUAGGUGAGAGUUGUUUUUGGUACCUGCUGGUGGUAGGGAAUUCAAAUUUGAAUUUGGAUUAUAGGUUUUAGGGUUUAUACUUCGGUAUAUGCGCGAUUUACGGACUAAUUAGAGAGCGGGUGGGUUCCGUCGCGAAUCCGUGACCAAAUCUGACGAAACAAGAUGGUAGUUUGGAUGCCCUCGUUGUGCUGAACGCGAUGGUGCGAUCCGUUCGGAAAUCCGAUGAACGGAUUGCCGGAUAUUGCAUGUUGUUCGCUUAGGGGUCGAGAGUGGAAAAUCGGGAAAGUUGCAAAAGUCGUAAUAUUUUAUGUACCGAAUCGCGCGAGAUCGAUUGUGGAGGUGUAAAUGAGCGAGAGUUACCCAUUGUGAGGGACUAGGUUUUAAAUUUGUAGUUUCGGUGGACUUUUGUGCAAAAUUGCACCUUGUAUACAUGUGCAUCUAGGGUUUCUAUGCACGAAACCCUAGAUCUACUCGACCGAGCGCCCCAUCUGUGCCCUAGCCGACCUCAGAGUAGCUCUGCCCUAACCAUGCUCGCACCCCGGCCGCCGGCAGGUGCCCCGGCCGCCGGAAAACUUGAACCCGGCCACCCCCUCCAUCUUUCUCUCUCUCAACAUCCAUCUAUCCACCUCUCCAUCCCUGCCGUGGACCACCUGGGAGAUUAUCACCCUCGGGCCCCCUUCCCCUGGCCAUGCCCGACCUCCGGCGAAGCCCCGGCGCCGUCCCGGUCGUCCCUGCGCACUGCCGCCGCCGCCUAGGCAGGCUGCGGCCAGAUCUAGACAGAUCUGGCCCAGGAGCUUUAGCUCCCUGCUAGCACGGCCGCCGCCACUUUGGGACGGCCGAGACGCCCUUACCCGGAGCCCCGGCGACCCCUGCCGCCGGCCCCAUCGCCUGCGCACGCCGCCGGAGCCGCCCAAGCUCCCGGCGGCCACCGGCAAUCACCCAGGCCGAGCCUGGGCGAUAUUUGCAUCCGCGCGCCGCAUCCGCCUCGAGGCGGGCU